ensembl:lncRNA
GUAAAAGGAGCAGUUCUGAAGUGGCUGAACCAGUAUUUCAGCAGCCUGAGCCAACACCUUAUGAUAGUGCUCAAGAACUUAAUGCACUGCAAGACAUUCUCAGGGACAUUCCUCCACAAGAGAAGGGCACUGUGCCACUAAGCUGGGCUGAACGGCAAGCUCAAAGCUCAGAGAAGUGGAAUGCUUCUAGAUCAGCCAUGGUUAAAAACAUAUUUCUCGCAGAGCACACAGACACCUAUAUCUGUGACAUCUGCCUGCAAAACACAUCUGUUGUGAGGUGCAGAGAUUGUUUGCCAAGACAGUUCCUGUGCAGUUCCUGCGAUACACAGAUACAUCAGCACAUCCUCCAUAACCGAGAAGCCAUGUUUGAGGGAUUCUAUCAACCCUUAGCCCCAAACAUGAUCAUUCAACUUCAAAAUGAUGGGUCACACCAGAUAAAGCAUGAAGUUCGACUGUUGCCGGUUCGUCUACCUCAACAGUGUACCUGUUCUCCCAGUCAGCUAAAGCUGACCUGUGGCAAAGAGGUCAUCCUUGUUGGAAUUAAUGGUAAGUACUUGGUUCAGUUCAAUUAAAUGCAAACGACUGAAUUCAUGCUGCUUACACAGCUCUUUUUGAUUUCAGGACGGUACCAACUAAAUUUGCCAACAUUGAGCUGUUCUCAGUGCAUGAAAAGCUGGACCACUGGACUUGAUGAACUAGUACAAUGUGGAUAUUGGCCUGCUACCAUCAACCACCAGACCAUCUUCCAUGUAGACCUGUUCCAGUCUUUCCAGGAUCUGAAGCAGCUGGCUCCUGGGCUUUCUCGUCAAGCAUUUAUUGGAAUGCUUGAUGAAAGAACAAAGUAUUUUGGCAGAGU